AUGAGAAACACCAGAGAUGACGAAACUGUUUCAGACAGUUACUGCAGUUCUUCAAGAGAAGGAGGAGGCUUGGACAGCAGCCCCAGCAGCAGCAGGUGUGAUGGAGAGCUGGCAGGCACAAGAAGAACCAGGAGACUCCUCCAUCGGACCCUGUUAGGACUCAGCAGCCUGAGGUCGACACGCUCCCUACAUAGCUCUGGAGCUGCCCAGACGUGUCCUGGUACUAAAGCAAUGAGCUGCCUCCUCUCCAUCCCCUUGUUCCCGGCACAUGAACAUGGAGGCGUCCCAAGACGAGCCACUGCGGUAACGGUGAGGGAGACCCUGCCGCGAACUGUGACAGUGCUGGGGCCUCACCAUCUGCCCCGGUGCAUGGGGCCUGGACUGUGGGCCAAUGGGGAGCACGCACAAGUCCUCUGGGAAGAAGGCAGGCCUGGGGCAGAUGCCAGAGUUUCAGGGCUGGCCCUGCUGCUGCCUGCCAUGGGGUUACAGCCAACUGUGGGAUCUCAGGCUGCCAUGGGGUCCUGGGCUGCCUUCGAGUCUCAGGCCACUGUGGGGUCCCAGGCUGCAAUGGGGUCCCAAGCCACCAUGGGGUCCCAGGCCACCUUGGGAUUUCAGGCUACUGUCGGGUCCCAGGCUGCUGUGGGGUCCACAGGUCGCCGUGGGGUCACAGGCCACUCUGGGGUCUCAGGUUGCCGUGGGCUCUCAGGCCGCCAUGGAGUCCUGGAAUGCCAUGGGGUCCCAGGCUGCCUUGGGGUCUCAGGCUAUUGUGGGGUCAUAGGCUCCUGUAGAGUCAUGGACCACCGUGGGGUCCUGGGCCAAAGCUUCUUCUUCUCAGUAGCUGUGUACCUGCUGCAGGAUGGAGCACCCAGCCGGGGCUCACCCCAUAGCCCUGCCAGGAUGACAGGAGAUGAGGCCACCUGGAUGGGCCAUCGGACGUUGACGAAUUCCCCCAUCGUGCUGGUGAACGGGCAGGAUGCUGCCCUACAUAAUAAAUAAUCCGUAUCCCAUGGCAGCACCAUCUCAAAGCAUCGCUGCUCAAGUGAUCCCCGCUUACAUCAACCAAAGAGAUGGCUCUCCCACGCACCUCAGAUUUAAAUUGACCGCUUUGUUUAGCACUAAAUAAAAUGCAGCUUUGUUAACUAUCA
rnacentral:lncRNA from 1 species